rnacentral:rRNA from 1 species
UACGAAGGGGGCUAGCGUUGUUCGGAAUCACUGGGCGUAAAGCGCUUGUAGGCGGAUCGUUAAGUCAGGGGUGAAAUCCCGAGGCUCAACCUCGGAACUGCCUUUGAUACUGGCGAUCUUCGAGUCCGGGAGAGGUGAGUGGAACUCCGAGUGUAGAGGUGAAAUUCGUAGAUAUUCGGAAGAACACCAGUGGCGAAGGCGACUCGCUGGACAAGUAUUGACGCUGAGGUGCGAAAGCGUGGGGAGCAAACAGG